GGAAGGGUCGCCUAGUGGCCGAUGGCGCGCGCUUGGAAAGCGCGUAUACCGCAAGGUAUCGCGGGUUCGAAUCCCGCCCCUUCCGCCA
rnacentral:tRNA from 1 species